UCCAACGUGACCUACCUCUCUCUUUUUUUUUUUUUUUACAGCAUCUUUCCUUUCCUAAUAUUUCAGAUAUGUCUUCCAGCCGAACAGGUUCAACUCAUCCAAUCGAAAUUUCAACUGCUUCCACUGAAACAACAAUACAGAUCCAAGAUGAUUACGAUGAAUUUAAAAAGGCGGAAGAGAUAUUCAUUGCGCUAGACCUUCCUAAAUAUACUAGAUUUUACUGGACAUACAUAAGUACACUUAAGGAGCAAGCAUUAUGGCGUAAGUAUUUCAUUGACAUAGCUGAAAGCACCGAUGAAAAUAAGCUACAACUGCUAGAAACUAUAACUGGUGUUUUACGGAAUAACGAAUAUAUGCGAGAACAAUUAGGUUCAAACCAAUAAUAGUAUUUUUUUA